rnacentral:rRNA from 1 species
UACGUAGGGGGCGAGCGUUGUCCGGAGUUACUGGGCGUAAAGCGCACGCAGGCGGUAUGUUAAGUUUGGAGUGACAGUUGGUGGCUCAACCACCAAAGUGCUUUGAAAACUGAUAGACUUGAGGGCUUCAGAGGGACACGGAAUUCCGGGUGGAGUGGUGAAAUGCGUAGAGAUCCGGAGGAACACCAAAGGCGAAGGCAGUGUCCUGGGGAGUACCUGACGCUCAGGUGCGAAAGCCAGGGGAGCGAACGGG